CCUACGGGUGGCAGCAGUGAGGAAUAUUGGUCAAUGGCCGAGAGCCUGAACCAGCCAAGCCGCGUGAAGGACGAAUGUCCCAAGCAUUGUAAACUUCUGUUAUCAAGGAACAAAGUGAGGCACGUGUGCCUUAUUGUUUGUACUUUAUGAAUAAGGAUCGGCUAACUACGUGCCAGCAGCCGCGGUAAUACGGAGGAUACGAGCGUUAACCGGAUUUAUAGGGUUUAAAGGGGGCGGAGAAGGGUUGUUAAGUUAGUUGGGAUAGUUUGGGGCUCAACCGUACACGGGCGAUUGAUACUGGCAGUCUUGAGUAGAGUUGAGGUAGGCGGAAUGCGUGGUGUAGCGGUGAAAUGCUUAGAUAUCGCGAAGAACUCCGAUUGCGAAGGCAGCUUACUGA
rnacentral:rRNA from 1 species